rnacentral:rRNA from 1 species
AUUGAACGCUGGCGGCAGGCUUAACACAUGCAAGUCGAGCGAGCGGCGGACGGGUGAGUAAUGUCUGGGAAACUGCCUGAUGGAGGGGGAUAACUACUGGAAACGGUAGCUAAUACCGCAUACCAUCAGAUGUGCCCAGAUGGGAUUAGCUAGUAGGUGGGGUAAUGGCUAACCUAGGCGACGAUCCCUAGCUGGUCUGAGAGGAGGACCGUCUACACUGGAACUGUGACACGGCCCAGACUCCUACGGGAGGCAGCAGUGGGGAAUAUUGCACAAUUGGCGCAAGCCUGAUGCAGCCAUGCCGCGGGUGUGAAGAAGGCCUUCGGGUUUUAAAGCACUUUCAGCGAGGAGGCGUUACUCGCAGAAGAAGCACCGGCUAACUCCGUGCCAGCAGCCGCGGUAAUAC